rnacentral:rRNA from 1 species
AGCUUGCUAUUCGGCGUCGAGCGGCGGACGGGUGAGUAAUGCUUGGGAAUAUGCCUUGAGGUGGGGGACAACAGUUGGAAACGACUGCUAAUACCGCAUAAUGUCUUCGGACCAAAGGAGGGGAUCUUCGGACCUUUCGCCUUAAGAUUAGCCCAAGUGAGAUUAGCUAGUUGGUGGGGUAAAGGCCUACCAAGGCGACGAUCUCUAGCUGGUUUGAGAGGAUGAUCAGCCACACUGGGACUGAGACACGGCCCAGACUCCUACGGGAGGCAGCAGUGGGGAAUAUUGCACAAUGGGGGAAACCCUGAUGCAGCCAUGCCGCGUGUGUGAAGAAGGCCUUCGGGUUGUAAAGCACUUUCAGUUGUGAGGAAAGGUUAGUAGUUAAUACCUGCUAGCUGUGACGUUAGCAACAGAAGAAGCACCGGCUAACUCCGUGCCAGCAGCCGCGGUAAUACGGAGGGUGCGAGCGUUAAUCGGAAUUACUGGGCGUAAAGCGUGCGUAGGCGGUUGAUUAAGCGAGAUGUGAAAUCCCGGGGCUUAACCUCGGAACUGCAUUUCGAACUGGUCGACUAGAGUUUUGUAGAGGGUGGUGGAAUUUCCAGUGUAGCGGUGAAAUGCGUAGAGAUUGGAA